rnacentral:misc_RNA from 1 species
ACCUAGCCCCGAUAGAAACGGUUACCCCACAGCACAGAUUGGAAGGCUUGAAGGUUUUGGAGUGGGAAAAUUUGGCGCGAGGAGUAUGAGUGGAUAGCGGGAUGAAGC